AGACGUAGGGGGCGAGGGUUGUCCGGAAUGAUUGGGCGUAAAGGGCGCGUAGGCGGCCCGGUAAGUCUGGAGUGAAAGUCCUGUUUUUAAGAUGGGAAUUGCUUUGGAUACUGUCGGGCUUGAGUGCUGGAGAGGUAAGUGGAAUUCCCAGUGUAGCGGUGAAAUGCGUAGAGAUUGGGAGGAACACCAGUGGCGAAGGCGACUUACUGGACUGUAACUGACGCUGAGGCGCGAAAGUGUGGGGAGCAAACAGGAUUAGAUACCCUGGUAGUCCACACUGUAAACGAUGAGUGCUAGGUGUAGGGGGUAUCGACCCCUUCUGUGCCGCAGUCAACACAAUAAGCAUUCCGCCUGGGGAGUACGGCCGCAAGGUUGAAACUCAAAUGAAUUGACGGGG
rnacentral:rRNA from 1 species